GGGCAGAUAGCUCAGCUGGGAGAGCAUCGCCCUUACAAGGCGAGGGUCGGGGGUUCGAUCCCCUCUCUGCCCACCA
rnacentral:tRNA from 3 species